AAAUGACAAAGGCAAACUUUGUGUAAACCAGGAGGCAAAGCCACGGGUCUUCUAUUGAAUUGAAGAUAGCUGAGUUACCUGU
rnacentral:ncRNA from 1 species